rnacentral:snRNA from 1 species
AUCCCUUAUUCCAUUUUCUGG